AUCAGGUAGUUGGUAAGGUAACGGCUUACCAAGCCUAUGACGGGUAGCCGGUUUGAGAUGAUGAUCGGCCGCGAUGGGACUGAGACACGGCCCAUACUCCUACGGGAGGCAGCAGUGGGGAAUAUUGCACAAUGGACGAAAGUCUGAUGCAGCGAUUCUGCGUGGAGGAUGAAGCAUUACGGUGUGUAAACUCCUUUUCUGGUAGAAGACGAAUGACGGUAUACCAGGAAUAAGGGACGGCUAACUAUGUGCCAGCAGCCGCGGUAAUACAUAGGUCCCAAGCGUUAUCCGGAUUUACUGGGCGUAAAGAGUCUGUAGCCUGAUAUGUAAGUCUGUUUUCAAAUACUCCGACUCAAUCGGAGAAAGGGGAUAGAUACUGCAUAUCUGGAAGUUAUUGGGGGUUAGUGGAAUUUCCGGUGGAGCGGUGAAAUGCGUUGAUAUCGGAAAGAACGCCGAAAGUGAAAACAGCUAACUACAAUAAACUUGACGGUCAGAGACGAAAGCUUGGGGAGCAAACGGGAUUAGAUACCCCGGUAGUCCAAGCUGUAAAUUAAGCAUGCUAGAUGUUUUGGACCC
rnacentral:rRNA from 1 species